rnacentral:misc_RNA from 1 species
UCAAACUUGGUCAUUUAGAGGAAGUAAAAGUCGUAACAAGGUUUCCGUAGGUGAACCUGCGGAAGGAUCAUUAUCGAGGUAUGGUUUUAAUAAAACCAAUCUCCCACCCUUUGUGAAUCUAAACUUGUUGCUUUGACGAGCCGACUUUUAUCAAACCAGCAUUGGUUUGGGUAAAAGCCUUGGGGUUAUUAUCUAAUAAUUCCGAGCGUGUUUGUCAAAGACCUCCUAAAACUCUGUUUAAUUUUGAAAUCUGAGUUUAAAUUAAAAAAUUAAAACUUUCAACAACGGAUCUCUUGGUUCUGGCAUCGAUGAAGAACGCAGC